CUUGUCGUUAUCGAGCCUCGCCUUGAUGUACCGGAGCUCACGGUCCGUCAGAGAAUCGUUGAAGUCAGGGGCGGAGUCCGAAACGGCGUCGUUUGAAGCCAUUGCCGAUGUUCCGAUUUCAAAAUGGCACCUUGCCAAAGAACCGUGCAGAAAUCCGACGGUUCGUUCAGAAACCGUGGCAACUACCCACGGUUCGUUACUUGAACCGUGGGAAGAGCCACGGUUCCCCGUUCCCUAUAAAUACUCUCAGGGGCGUCAUCUCCUUUCAGCACGCUCAAGCUUUUCAGUGAGUUGGAUCUUCAGCGUUCAAGGUCAAAAAGAAAAUCUUCAGCUGGGUUUUCAGAUUUUAUUUAAUCACAUCAGCCUUUAAAUCUGAGGUUUUCAGUAUCUUAUUCAAGGAACAUGUGGCCCUAACGUCAUCCUCUUCUGGCUCUAAGGUGGAGGCAGAGUGAAAAGCUCUUUCUUGGUAUAUUUAUAUUUCUAUGUAAUUGAAUGCCGGGGUUGAUUUUCAAAUUCUAUCUUAUCACAGCAACGUUUGAAUCUGCUGUAAACAGAGAAAAUCUCAAUGAAAGGCAACAGGAGCCUAUUCAAGAACAACCAGAACCAGAAGAUACACAGAAUCGGCAGUUUCGUCGUGGACGCCCUCACCAAAACUCAAGAAGAGGAGGAUAUAGAGUCACAAUUACGGAUGAGAAUGGCCAUAGUUCUACUCGAAACAUGAAGGGAAGUGAUGUUUUACUGCUUGGACGUGGCGAGAGAAUUCAAGUGGAAUGGAAUGAAUUUAAUCAACCAAUAGGAGAAGGCGCUGGGAUUUUAGGAAGUUUCCUAAGAAUUGUUGCGAGUGACUUCGACAAAUUUUCCCUUGAAGUACCCAAACUGGCACAAGAUGCCAGAUCAAUUAAAGAAUCAUGCUUACACAAACAUUAUCAAGACCCACUUUAUUGUGAAUGAUGCUGAGCACAAACAUUUUAUUUUAAUGGCAUUGGGAGCAAAUUGGAGAGAGGCUAAGUACAAAUUAUUUAAAGAUGAAUAAGACCGCACUUGUAACUUGCAAGAUUUGAAAAAUAAUGUUCCUCAUGGCCUCUCUAAAGAAGAUUGGGAAGCAUAUGUUGAUUAUCGUACACGUCCGGACACAAUGGCGAUGGCUAGUCGUAAUGCUCAAAAUAGGGGCCUGAAAAAGAUUCAUCACACAAGUGGGUCUUUAAGCUUUGCAAGGAGGAGGGGAUAUAUGGAAGAAGAGGAUGAUCGGCCAGUUAACAUCAAGGAACUAUAUGAAGUCACACAUUUAAAUAAAGAAGGCAAUCCUUGCAAUGAGGAAGCAGCAACAGUCAUGGAGAAGCUUAAAGAAUGUGAAAAUCAUCAUUCUUCAUCUGAGGCCAAUGCCAAUAAUGACAUUUUAGUGAGAGUUAUAGGCCCAGAUCAUCCAGGGGGCUUAGGAAUGGGUCCCACUCCAACACAAGUUUAUGGGUCAACUUUGUCAACAAAAUCAUUUAAAGCUCAUUCACGUAAACGUACAAAGAAUCCAAACAAUGUAACCCUACGAAAUGAAGUUGAAAGAUUAAAAGCUGAAAAUAUGUCUUUACGUUCACAAAUAGAUGAGUUGAUGAACCAAAUCAAACCGAGAUUAGAUGAGAUGGAAGGCAGUAGAAUGGCUCAAAUACAAAGUUUUAAGACCCGAACCGACCCGGACGGUCGGACCGGUCGGACUGUCGCCCGCUGAAGAAAACGGGCUGGUUCAACCAAUUAACCUGGAUUAGCAGUUGGCCCGGGUUGGCUCGCCUAGAAUCGGACGGUUUUUAAAGACCCGGGAAAAACCCGGAACCCGGAGCGGGUUUUACGGGUCAACAGCGAGUCGCAAAAAAAUGACAAAAUUGAUAUUUUUAAAAAUAAAAAACCCUUCUCCUCACUCUGUCUAGCAGACCAACACCUAUAAGGACCCAUUCUUCUUCUUUUUAGUCUCACUUCUCUCCGUCUCGCACAAUGCACGCACUCAUUCUCGUCAUCUUCUCAAAUCUCAGCCAUCUGGGUUUUGUUCUAUGUGUCAUCUCCCUCAAGCCACUCAGCCUUCUAGGCUCUAUCUUCACCGUUCAGCCAUCUUGGACUCGCUUUCUCAACCAUUUGGGUUCUAUGUUCACCCUUUGUUGUCUUCACCAUUUAACUUUAGCCAUCUCAAACUCUCUCAAACUUCAAAUGUUUAUUUGUUCUUCAUCUUCACUUCACUUUCUUCAUUUUGGUUUGUGACUUCGUGUUCUUGAUUAAUUCUAGUAUAGGCAUCCAGUUGUUGAAAACAGUCAGAUGGCGUCGAGCUCGACCCCUUUCAUGAUUCUUCAUCUUCUUUGUUGAUUGCUCUCUCUCUCUCUCUCUCAGUCCCGGUCACCGGUCCAACCGCCGGUCUGACCGGUUGAACCAUGAGACCCGUGACCCAUUGAUAUUUUCGGUUCGCUGUCCGGUUCGGAUUUUAAAACAUUGCUCAAAUAGAAGCUGAAAGGAAGCGAAUAGCUGAAUUCGAAGCUCUAUUGAUACCAAUGGCUGAAAUGAAAGGUCGAAUGGAUGCAGUGGCUGAAAUUGAAACUCAAAUGAAGGCAAUAGAAGAGAAAUGGAUACAAAACUACCUUCGAGGACGUUCUUCUUCCAAUGCAUGUCGGGGUUCAGGUACAAAUAGGGAUCAAUCUCCAGAAUCCUGCAAUAAAUGAUUUUGCCUGCGGCAUACAUUUUGUGUUUGUAAAAAAAUAUUUAGAUUAAUUGUUUAAGAACUAUGUAUUAAUUAAUUUCUAUCAUGUGAGUUAAAAUGGCAACCUUGGAUACAUUGUUAUUAUCUGUAUUGGAUUUUUCGAGAAGUA